UACGAAGGGGGGCUAGCGUUGUUCGGAUUUACUGGGCGUAAAGCGCACGUAGGCGGUUUGUUAAGUGAGAGGUGAAAUCCCAGAGCUCAACUCUGGAACUGCCUUUCAUACUGGCAAGCUAGAGUCCGGAAGAGGUAAGUGGAACUCCUAGUGUAGAGGUGGAAUUCGUAGAUAUUAGGAAGAACACCAGUGGCGAAGGCGGCUUACUGGUCCGGAACUGACGCUGAGGUGCGAAAGCGUGGGGGAGCAAACAGG
rnacentral:rRNA from 1 species